rnacentral:rRNA from 1 species
UACGAGAACCCCAAGCGUUAUCCGGAAUCAUUGGGCGUAAAGGGUGUGUAGGUGGUGUGGUUAGUCUUCUGUCAAAUUCUUCGGCUUAACCGGGGUUCUGCAGAGGAAACGGCCAGACUCGAGGAUGCGAGAGGUGAAUGGAACUCAUGGAGUAGGGGUGAAAGUCCGUUGAUAUCAUGGGGAACACCAAAAGCGAAAGGCAAUUCACUGGCGCAUUCCUGACACUGAGACACGAAAGCGUGGGUAGCGAACGGG